GCUGGCGGCGUGCUCAUACAUGCAAGUCGAACGAUAAGGUCUCUUCGGAGAUACAUAAGUGGCGGACGGGUGAGUAAAAUGUAGAGAAUCUGCCCUAGAGAUGGGGACAACAGUUGGAAACGACUGCUAAUACCCAAUAUGAGCGUAGUUGAAAUACUAUUCUUGAAAACUCCGGUGCUCUGGGAUGAGUCUGCAUCUGAUUAGCUAGUUGGAGGUGUAAUGGACCACCAAGGCGACGAUCAGUAGCUGGUUUGAGAGGAUGAUCAGCCACAAUGGGACUGAGACGCGGCCCAUACUCCUACGGGAGGCAGCAGUAGGGAAUUUUGCGCAAUGGGGGAAACCCUGACGCAAGCAACGCCGCGUGAAUGAAGAAGCCCUUCGGGGUGUAAAGUUCUGUCAGUAGGGAAGAAUAAAUGACUGUACCUACAGAGGAAGCAUCGGCUAACUCCGUGCCAGCCGCAGC
rnacentral:rRNA from 1 species